CUACUGUCCACUCUCUCAUAUCAAUACAAUAACAUCCAUGACAACGAUUUCAGUAUCCUGUGUAAUUCACGAACUCACAAGCAUAUUCCAAACCUUCGAAUGAACAACUUCCAAUCCAUAGAAUCUAAUCAAGAUAAUUCUUUUGAUUACAAUUCCUCUCCACUAAACUUACAACCUUACAAUAAUCAGUGACUGGAAACUUCCAUACAUCUUCAAUCUUUCACAAAAAUUGAUAAACAGUGAUCCAUAAACAACUUUGUAAAUCAAACAUUAAUUCAUUAAAUCGAUUUUCUUCACUAGAAUCAAGACUAACACAAAAGAAACAAGAAAACUAACAGAAGAGAUAGCACCAAGCUUAUC
rnacentral:lncRNA from 1 species